rnacentral:rRNA from 1 species
UGGUGGAGCGAUUUGUCUGGUUAAUUCCGAUAACGAACGAGACUCUAGCCUACUAAAUAGACGUUCCGAUCAUCUCCGUCGGACGUUCUUCUUAGAGGGACAAGCGGCGUUUAGCCGCACGAGACAGAGCAAUAACA